CCUACGGGUGGCUGCAGUGGGGAAUAUUGGGCAAUGGGGGCAACUCUGACCCAGCAACGCCGCGUGAAUGAUGAAGGUCUUCGGAUUGUAAAGUUCUGUGAUGGGGGAUGAACACAAUGACGGUACCCCAAUAGCAAGCCACGGCUAACUACGUGCCAGCAGCCGCGGUAAUACGGAAGGUCCGGGCGUUAUCCGGAUUUAUUGGGUUUAAAGGGAGCGUAGGCCGCAUGUCAAGCGUGCUGUGAAAUGUCCGGGCUCAACCCGGGCCUUGCAGCGCGAACUGGCGUGCUUGAGUCCGCGGAAAGCAGGCGGAAUUCGUCGUGUAGCGGUGAAAUGCUUAGAUAUGACGAAGAACCCCGAUUGCGAAGGCAGCUUGCUGCAGCGGAACUGACGCUGAUGCUCGAAAGCGCGGGUAUCGAACAGGAUUAGAUACCCCUGUAGUC
rnacentral:rRNA from 1 species